rnacentral:lncRNA from 1 species
UACUUUAAUUAAUUAAUAUGCAAUUGCUUUUCCCCCGCAGUUAUUAUUUUUUAAUGCAUGAGUUUAUUUUACUAAUGAAAUCAGGAGAGAGAAGGCGAAUCUCUGAUAUAUUUGUCCAAACUGAUGAUGCUCCAAGAGACAAGUUAGCCAUUUGUGCAAGCGCUUUCUUAAACUUUCUUCUGGAGGCUCGAUUUUCAGGACAAACUCAAACCCCGGAAUCUGGAGUAAAAAUUAUCCUGAAAUAAGAAUGUAUUCAGCAAUGGAAAAAAGAUAGAUAGAUAGAUAGAUAGAUAGAUAGAUAGAUAGAUAGAUAGAUAGAUAGAUAGAUAGAUAGAUAGAUAGAUAGAUAGAUAGAUAGAUAGAUAGAUAGAUAGAUAGAUAGAAAUGGGCCUCGCAUAGAUUAGUAGUGUGUAUGUCGUUUAGUAGAUAGGGAUAGAUAGAUAGAUAGAUAGAUAGAUAGAUAGAUAGAUAGAUAGAUAGAUAGAUAGAUAGAUAGAUAGAUAGAAAUGGGCCUCGCAUAGAUUGAGUGUGAUGCUUUGUAGAUAGAGAGGGGGCAGCAGUGUGUCAGGUCCAGCACUGCUCUGAAACACACUCCCAUCAGCCCCUCCCAUCAGCUCUUAAAGGCUCGCGCACGUCCCGUCGUCAGCCAUGUUGUUUGUCUGACAGCGCUGUACUGCAACAGGUUGUUAAAGAUCCUCAAUAAAACACUGCAGAAAUUCUUUAAAGAAACCCUGAAAGCCGAUUGUCAUCACGUUAAUUCAGAGGACAAUGGAAAAGGAUAUGUUUUCCUCCCAGGAGAUUUCGCAAAGUCAAUAAUGCUGUUGUGUAAUGCAGCUGUUUUUCCCAAUGCACCUGGUAAUGAGUAUCACCAUGAAGAUUAAAAAGUGGACUGAUGACAAAUACUUACUGACCAAAUAUCUUAGUUUCAUAAUACUGACAAAAAGCUUUGAGCGCAGCACGAGCUCACUAGAGCAGAUGUGUUUACUCGCUGAUGAAUCGAGGUCACGUGACACUAAACAGCGCUGUGAGAUCCAGUGUGAAGCACUUGAAUUCAAUGCAGAACACAAAUGAGUUGGUUAUUUGAACUGGUUUAAAGCCAGAUGAAACGGCGCUGACAAACAGGAGAAACACUGUGAGCAAUGAUACAGUCAGAACUAAGGCUUUUUAGUCUACAAAUCGCCAUCAUUUACCAUGGAUUUACUGUAGUAACAAUAAAUGCACCAUGGUAUUGUGGCAGAAAUGUGGGAUAUUCAUAUCAAAUUUUAUUAUAUUAUUAAUGUAGAGAUGUAUUAAAUGUAUUAAAGGAGUAAUUGAAUAAUUACAGUAUUUUGUGACUAAGUUUUAGGUAUACUAAAUGUAUUUUACAUACUUAUAACAUUACCUAGAAACCUUAGUUACAUUUUUUUCUUCUUUUUUUUUUUUUUUUUUUACCAUGGUAUACAGUAUGUGUUGUUUUAACUGUAGUUAUCAUGACCUAGAUGUAUGUUACUAUGGAAGACCAGUGGUUAAUUUUAAUAAAGCUCAGUCAGAAUAAUUAAAAUUCACCAUAAAAAAAUUAGGUUGUUACAAUUUUUAAGAGAAUACUAUUUUUGAUAAUGCACAUGAUUUACAUCUGCAUCCUAAUUCAAGCUGCUACUACUUUCAACUCAAACUGCUGUCAAAUGUGCAUUUCUAAGAGACAAAAAUACAUAAUAUUAUCAAUAUUGCAGCCUGCACUGCAAACUUUGCUGAAGAUACACGUCAUCAAAGUCAGGAACACAAAUCUGCUUUAUGAUUUAAAACAUAUCUCUCAUUAGAAUAUGUAGAUACUAAGAAAUACAUUUUACUAUAUUGAUAUUUAUUUUUUUAGGUAAAAAUGACUGUGAAAGUCUAAACUAAAGAAUAAAAAAAUGGACGAAGUGUUUGUCUCGUUCUAACCGACCUAGAUGUAUGUUACUAUGGAAGACCAGUGGUAAUUUUAAUUAAAGACUCAGUCAGAAUAAUUAAAAUUACAACCAUAAAAAAUUAAGGUUAGUUACAAUUUUUAAGUAGAAUACUAUUUUUGUAUAAUGCACAUGAUUUACAUCUGCAUCCUAAUUCAAGCUGCUACUACUUUCAACUCAAACUGCUGUCAAAUGUGCAUUUCUAAGAGACAAAAAUACAUAAUAUUAUCAAUAUUGCAGCCUGCACUGCAAACUUUGCUGAAGAUACACGUCAUCAAAGUCAGGAACACAAAUCUGCUUUAUGAUUUAAAACAAUAUCUCUCAUUAGAAUAUGUAGAUACUAAGAAAUACAUUUUACUAUAUUGAUAUUUUAUUUUUUUUAGGAAAAAUGACUGUGAAAGUCUAAACUAAAGAAUAAAAAAAUGCGAAGUGUUUGUCUCGUUCUAACCAUCAAUAGUUUAAUGCAACAAUUUUUUCAAGUCUUUAAACUUGAAAGAAAUAAAGAUUUGAAAUCUAAAUAUGAAAAUAUGGAAAUUCGUAAAGUGGAAUUCGAAUUUUGUCUUCCUGGGCGGGUGUCUAGACUAGAUUAAAUUUAGACUCUUAUUUCAUAUGUCAGGCUUUACAGCGUGUUAUUUCUUCCCAAAAUAAUGAUGAAGCAUUGACUGCUUUGAAAUUCUGAUGUUAUUAGGAGGAGCAUACUGAUGCAAUCAGUCAUAAACAGUUUCAUUGUUUAUUUAGAUUUUGCACAUAGAACAUUCUGUUGAAAACAUUUGUAUGGGAAGUUUAGAGCUCUCAUCUCCUCCCUCUCACCGUUCCUCUCUCCUUUACACAUCCUCUUCUCUCUCUUUAACUCUUAGAGUGCAGGAUGGAGAUAGCAACAGUCCUGCACUCCCCUGCCUGCAUUAUUAAUGGGUGGACAUUUCUUCUGUGUGUGUGUG